rnacentral:tRNA from 1 species
GCGGACGUGGCGAAAUCGGUAGACGCUGGGGUCUUAAACACCCUUUCCUCUGGAGUACGGGUUCAAGUCCCGUCGUCCGCACCA